GACGAGCGCUGGCGGCGUGCUUAACACAUGCAAGUCGAACGGAAAGGCCUGCUUUCCCUUGUGGAUUGCGGGUACUCGAGUGGCGAACGGGUGAGUAACACGUGAGUGAUCUGCCCCCAACUUGGGUAUAAGCCUGGGAAACUGGGUCUAAUUCCCGAUAGGACUGCAGGGUGGUGCCUGUGGUGGAAAACGAUUUUCUAGUGGUUGGGGAUGAGCUCGCGGCCUAUCAGCUUGUUGGUGGGGUAAUGGCCUACCAAGGCGGCGACGGGUAGCCGGCCUGGGAGGGUGGACGGCCACCUUGGGACUGAGAUACGGCCCAGACUCCUACCGGAGGCAGCAGUGGGGAAUAUUGCACAAUGGGCGGAAGCCUGAUGCAGCGACGCCGCGUGGGGGAUGACGGCCUUCGGGGUGGAAACUCCUUUCGACCGCGAGGAAGCCACCUGGUUGGAAGGGUGGUGACGGUAGUGGUAGAAGAAGCACCGGCUAACUACGU
rnacentral:rRNA from 1 species